UGUUAUGUUAACAGGCUUUUCCCUGAUACGGAUGCCACUGGAAGUCCUGCCUACCACCAUUUUCCAGCUACCAAAGCAUCACCAGGGCUCAGAGUGCUGUCACCAGUCGUGGUCCACCAGUGGUCCCGAUAAUGAAAUGCUGAUGGCAGCAGCUCUGUGCAUUGACAAGAAAAAGAAAGGUGUUUAGGAGCCUAGAAGAUGACAUACAAAGACAGGUAAUCCUCAGUACCCCAAAUAACAAAGUUUUAAUUUAGGAAGGUGUUUAAUGAAGACAGCCCGAAGGGCAAAGUCUUGGAGGAAGAGGUCUGUUUUGUCUGCAUUUUCACAGAUGACUGGACAAAUGACUAGAGAAAGUAUUAACAGU
rnacentral:lncRNA from 13 species